rnacentral:lncRNA from 1 species
CUAGACCCAAAUAACACAAAAACGACACACACCUAUUAUUAUUCAUUGUCUCCCUCACUGAGCCCAACCUCAACUAGCCUGAAACUCAGGCGAGUUCACUCAAAUGGGUCCCCUCCUCUCCAUGUCACGUUAUUCCAACGGUUUUUGUCAGAGAAGAAAGAAUAUUCUCUCCAAAUUUGCACGAUUUCUAUACGAUGGAACGAUUUGCUGGAUGAAUGGGAGCCGUAGAUGGAUGUAAAUCGAUACAUGCCUUCCAUUUGUCCCAAAAAUCGUUAAAACAUGAGGAUUUUCGGUUAUUUGGGCAGAAGCUUCGAGAUUUUUUGAAGGGUUAUAUAAAAGGUGAAUUUUCUUGUUUAAAGGGUAAGGAAAUAUCAGCAAAAAAAGCUUUAGAAAAUUUAGUAGUAAAAUUUCUAGGGGUUUGAAGUUUUUCUUCUUCUGAAGCCUUUUCUUUUCUGAUUAGACAUCUUUUCAAAAAGAAAAAAAAAAUAUAUAAAGUAUGGUCUGAGUUUGAUUGUUGAUUCAAGUUUCACUUCAUUUCAAAAGAAUUCAAAAAUUACAAAUCUCCGCAUUUUCUCUUCGAUCUCUAUUCUUCAAGUAUGGUUUUGGAUUGAAGUUUAAGUUGGGGUUUUGUCACUGGGAUUUGGAGCUUUGGCACUGUGGUUUUUCUGUCCGAUUUUUGCUUGCAAUUUGGAUUUGGUUGGCUGAUCUGUUGAGCUAUUGUUACUCUCACUGAAUUUCUUCUGCCAUUCCAGAGUUUCAUUUGAUAUUUUUAGUUGUUUUGCUAAUAGGUAUGUUCAUCUUGUUUGUUGCUUUACAUCGGAUCAUGAAAUGAAAAAUUGCUUUCGUUAGUUUCUGCCUAGUUUUGUAAGACCAGUUGGCUCAAUCAUUGAUACUAGCUUUGAAUCCCUCUCAUUGUUUGUUUUUGGUUUCAGUAGAAUAAGUCAAAUAUAUUUGAGAAUGAUGUUGUUGUAUGUAAAGAUUAAAAUAUUAAGUUUUUUAAAGUGCUCAUUGAUUCGUGCAUUACUUUCUGUAGCAUCUUCUCGUUUAGACUAAAGAUUCAUGCUUUAAACGACACAGCGAUAAAACAUAAUAUAUGUUUGUAUGUGUGUGUUUAUUGAUGUGCAUUGGCUUUAGGUUGUUUAAUCACUUCUUCUCUUUUUCUUUUAGUUAUCUUAUCAGUUACCUAUCCCAUUAGAACCCCUUCAUAUAUAACAUCGUCAAAAGCUCUCGUGUAAUGGUUCUAUUGCAUCUCUUUAUUUCUAUCCCAGCUCAUAAUGUAGUUUCAAUUUGGUCUUAUAUGAUUAGUCUCGUUUAUGAAAGUUCCUUUCCUUAUAUGUUUACUAGUAAAGUUAGAAUUUUUAUUGUACAAUUGUCUAUUACACCCGUAAAGGGGACUUCUCUCUACCCUGUUAUUCAUUGCCCAAAUUCUUACUGUUCCUCUCACGGGAUCUGGAAUAGUGAGAGGAGUUGGAGUCCUUAGGCUGGAAGGUGAUACAGGGGGGGGGGGGGGUAAGGAAGUAGUUAUGGAACAAUACAUAUUUUUGCCCAAAACCCAUUCCUCUAGAUGUCAUUCUAUGAGAAGAUAUAUAUGUUUGUCAGAAAAUCCAGCUGCUUAUUUUCCUACUCUAUGAUUAUUUGGGGGAAAAAUGCAAAGAUUUUUACAUAGAUAGCUAAGGUUUUAUCUGUAGUGUCUCAUGAAAUUUAUGUGCAACUGAUCGAGAUUCAUGUCUAUUUCUUGUAUGAUGUGUGUGUGCGAGUACUAUUUUAUUUGUAUUUCUGAUGUUCAUUCAUUCACUGUCAGUCAGGUAAAAUUGAAAGACUAAUGUUUAAUCCUUAAUUAAAAGAAUGAAUGUGUGCAAACAAGUCACAUAUGUUUGUAAAGACUGAUUUCUUUUAUUUACUAUUUUUGUCACUAUGUGUAUAUGUUUGUCAGCAUGUCAGAGGUUCCAAUGGAGUAAGGACAUUUGAAUUCACUCUUGCUUUAUCAAUUAUGCAGCAGCCAACUCAUUAUGCCUGUAGCAGGGAAUCUCUUUUGGCCUGCGUUUGGGUUUAAUUGCAUAACCUGCACCUGGGCUCAAUUUUGAGCCCAAUGAGUGAUGAUGCCCAUCUCUUUUUUUAAAAAAAAGAGGAGAAGCGUGCAAUAAUACACUACACAUGCCGUUGGCCCAGUUUCCUGCCUCGAUUAGCUUAGGCAUGUUGCAUUGCUUUAUACAUUAAUCAAUGUCUUGAGCCUAAUUUUGGAUGUAAAUAUAUUUAGGUUUAAUUAAGUGUAAUCCUUUUAAAAUGGUUGGAGGUGUGCCAUCUUUCAUU